UGUCAUUUUUCUCGUGAGGACUGGCUGGUCUGAAGGUAUCUGGUCUUUAAGUUGUGACGUAGGUCGUGAUGUAUCAUCCGUUUCCGGGUCCUAGCUGGUCCCCAGCUCCCGUCUUGUCAACAGUGUCCCUUGCUGUUUGAAUGGAUCUGAGUGAAAAAAAAAACUAAUUAAUGUAUGUGAGCUACAAGGAGCCAAAGAGUGUUUGUCUGCUGUCAUCUGAUCAACUGGUAGAAGAUGUCCACCUGAACACAUUCCCUGAUGUACGGCAGUGAGACACCAGUAUCUUUAAUAGCAGCAUCAAGAAAUACCAACACAAGAAAUGAUGAGCCAUCCCCUGAGGCCUCUUUCAAGUCAGCUUCUGAUUUGUCUGGGUAAAGUUACUCAUCCUCUACCGACUCUACCUCAGACUCCUCAUCCUCCUCAACCUCAGAAGAUGGCAAGAAGAAGAAGAGGAAGAGGAAGAAGUCUAAUAAGAACAUAAAGAAGAAGAGAAAGGAACAAAUGAGUGAGAAAGGAAGCAAAAUGGACACACAGAGCUGUUUUUAUUUAUGUUAAUCAUUUAAAACUCAGAAUCUAUUACUUCCUCAGUGUCUUGACUGGUUUGGCAACACUCAAAUCCUUUUUCUCCCAUAACAUUAUGACAACUCUCUCAUAGCCUUGGUGAGACAGUGCGGGUGUGUGAGACCUGAGACCCACAAUACAGCUCCAGGCACCACAAACUCUGCUCACACAAUGUACUUUUUUGUCACACCAUUUCCUUUAUGCAAUUUGAAUCAAUUUGAUCUGCAGUUUACCAUUUACCUAUAGGACCUAUCUUACGCCAAGCGCAAAGUGGUGCCAAGCGCGACGCAAGCAUCUUUGCUACUUUAAGACCGACACAGUGGUCAUUUUCCCAUCCAGCAUUCUGUUGUUUAAAUAGCAAAUGCACUUGCUCCCAUCUGAACGCCCAGUGAGUGCAGUGGCUGGGGGUGUGAGAAGUUUCAGAUCCAGUCAUACACAGCUGCACCUCUGGGAUUCAGAGAUUGGCACAGCAGUAACUCUUACCAGCCUCCCCAUUGUUUGUGACUGAAGAUCUUUGAUUAAAGCCUUGGAAGCUACUCAGAAAUUAUUGUUUGGUCAAUCAGACUGCAUGGUGUUCAGCUUAUUCU